GACGAACGCUGGCGGCGUGCUUAACACAUGCAAGUCGAACGGAAAGGCCCUGCUUUUGUGGGGUGCUCGAGUGGCGAACGGGUGAGUAACACGUGAGUAACCUGCCCUUGACUUUGUGAUAACUUCAGGAAACUGGGGCUCAUACCCGGUAUGAGCUCCUGCUGCAUGGUGGGGGUUGGUAAGUGUCGGCGGUUGGGGAUGGUUUGGCGGCUUAUGAGCCUGUUGGUGGGGUAGUGGCUUACCAAGGCUUUGACGGGUAGCCGGCCUGGGAGGGGUACCGGCCACAUUGGGACUGAGGUACGGACCAGACUCCUACGGGAGGCAGCAGUGGAGAAUAUUGCGGAAUAGGCGGAAGCCAGAUGCGGCAACGCCGCGUGCGGGAUAACGGGCUUCUGGUUGUAAACCACUGUCGCAGGUGACGAAGCGUGAGUGACGGUAAUGGGUAAGGAAGCACCGGCUAACUACGUG
rnacentral:rRNA from 1 species